UCAGCUUCUCAGCCUUUUGGCUAAGAUCAUGUGUAGUAUAUGUCUUUAAAAGGUUCACAAUGGAUUUGUGAAAUAUAUUAUUAUAAUUUUUGAAAGAUAUAUAUAUAUAUAUAUAUAUAUAUAUAUAUAUAUAUAUAUUGGGGCCCCGGUGGCGAAGUGCGUUAAAGCACUGAGCUGGAGACCGAAAGGUCCCAGGUUCA
ensembl:snRNA U2 U2 spliceosomal RNA